GUGGAGAUGUCUGCUUGGCCUCUUUUGGCACUAGCACAUUUUUGCUUUUGUCUCUCUGCUCUGAGCAAUCAUGUGUAGUGCCAAUAUGGGAAAAGCUGGAAUUGUCAGC